rnacentral:tRNA from 1 species
GUGGCUUAGUGGUUAGAGUGUUGAACUAGGACCUAGGAGGCCGCGGGUUCGAAUCCCCACUCA